GUAGUCUCGCACAGAUGCAUAUCAAUAAGCGGAGGAAAAGAAACUAACAAGGAUUCCCCUAGUAACGGCGAGUGAAGCGGGAAGAGCUCAAAUUUGAAAUCUUAAAGGGUUUCCCUUUACGAAUUGUAGUUUAAAGAAGUGUUUUCUGUUGAGGUUUUGGUAAAAGUUCUUUAGAAUAGGACAUCAUAGAGGGUGAGAAUCCCGUAUUUGACCUUUACUUUCAACUUUGUGAUACACUUUCAAAGAGUCGGAUUGUUUGGGAAUGCAGUCCAAAAUGGGUGGUAAAUUUCAUCUAAAGCUAAAUAUUGGCGAGAGACCGAUAGCGAACAAGUACCGUGAGGGAAAGAUGAAAAGAACUUUGAAAAGAGAGUUAAACAGUACGUGAAAUUGUCAAAAGGGAAGCGUUUGACACCAGUGUUGUUUUUCUGAAAAUCAAUUAAAGAACUGUUUAUGCUAAGUUGUUUAGACUUUAUCAGCUAUCUGCUUAGUUUUGAGCUUUUCUUUAAUGCACUUUUCAGUUAACAAGUCAACAUCAAUUUCUUUUGCUGUAAAAAAGCUUGAGGAAGGUGGCUUGAGAUUCGUCUUAAGUGUUUAUAGCCUCUUGCCUAUGCAGUCGGAGAGAUUGAGGUCUGCAGCGUAGAUCCUUCGGGGCUAAAUGCAUUUGUGCUAAGUUAUAGCAUUUUAUAGACAACUUGUUGACUAUGAUUUGUCUUGUAGCUUACUCGCUUAUGUUAUUUUACCUACGCUUAGGAUGUUGAACUCUAUCACACACAG
rnacentral:rRNA from 1 species